CAAAUAGGGGCCCUUUAAAGUUUAAAUACCCCACGUAUUUUAGCGUAUUUCCCCAAAAUACUCCAUCACUAUGUUGCCAUAUGUUUGGGGAUGCUCUGGUGGUGUUUUAGGGAUUUUCGAUAUUUUUCGAUACCAUGGCCACCGGACGGUCCCCUUAAGAACUGAGUCCCAAGUAUAGGAGAGAGGAUGACCUCACCCCUAAGAACAACUUUCACUCCCCAAGACACACACCAGUACAAACCCAAAACUUACAAGGCAGAGGCCAUAUCCUGAGGUGGGUGCAGCACUUGUAUCCCAUGAUUGAGGGACAAAGCCAGAGGAGUGAGAGGAGCAUAAUAGCUUUCGCCCUGAGAAUGGUCCAAGAACCUCGAACCCCACAGCAGAGAAUACAUAGAACCAUAUAUAUAAGGAACCCAAAAGAAAACUUAAUGAAUUACCCUGAGAGCCAAAACAACAGGGCCCAGAGAAAAGGUAUCCAAAUACCUAUGAGUAAUAUCCAUGAGAUAAAAAGAAGCAAAAGUGGACAUACUCUUCCAGGUUCCUGCUCGAAGAACGGCAGGAAUAUUCCGAAUUUUCCUGAACAAGGCACUCGUCGCCACUGCUCUAACUUCAUGUUCCUUCACCUGAACCAAGCGUAUUUCCUCCUCAGACACAUCUACAUGCGCACACUGGAUAACCUGACAUAUCCAGUGGGAAAUAGUAUGAGGAUGCACUACAUGCCAAGGCUCAGAAUCUGUCACAAAAAAGCGGGAACAUCUAGGACAACAGUCCCUGGUUCUGCGAAGGUACUCCCUGAUGGCUCUAACUGGGCACUCUGAAAGAGCAGGAAUGGUGAAGUCGGACUGCAAUACAUCAACUGGGAGUUGAGUCUUCGCUAGAAAAUCCGAGGCUAAAGAGAAAGUCAUAGAAGCCCAACCCUUUGAGUGACGAACUUCCACAGCAGAUGCUAAAGCCAAGAGAAAGGAGGACUUCAGUGCAACGUCCCUCAAAGAAGCCAAACGCAGAGGCUCAUAAGGGGACUUUAUUAAUGAGCGUAAAACUUAAGGAUAAAUCCCACGCAGGAACGCGUAGUGAACGAGGGGGAGCCAACUUGGCAAACCCCCGAAACAGAGCUGACAGAUCCUUAUCUUGUGAGAUAUUCAAGCCAGCCUACUGGAAAACGGGGUCCAAAGCAGAACGAUAGCCCCUAAUGGACGGUAAGGACAAAUGUUUAGUGUCCCAAAGAAAAAUUAAAGUCUGUUAAAUCCAUCACAGAUGUCAAGAGAGGAUGACAACCCCUCAACUUACACCACCCACAGAAGACAGACCACUUUGCCUGAUUGACUCUGGCAGAGGACUGUCUGACCGGACGUGGGGUCAUAAAUCUAGCAGCCUUCCGUGAAAAGCCUCUCUUUCGGAAGAGAUGCUGGAGAGUCUCCACGUGUGAAGGUGAAGAACCCCUGGCUACUUGUGAAAGAGGUGGCGAUGAGGCUGGCGGAGCAGAGAGGCCCAUUGUAGCAACACUUGAGGAGACUCAGAAGCAGAGGAAACCAGUCUGCCUGGUGCCACCGCAGGGCAGAGUCAUGCGAACACAAGCGGAAUCUCUGACUCGAACUAGCACCCGCUGAAUCAGAGAGAAGGGAGGAAAGGCAUAUAGAUCCAAGCCUUCCCAUGGAAAGGCAAAAGCAUCCUCUUUUCAAGCUCCUGGAUUGGGCAGGGGAGGUACAUAAAGAGGUAACUGGUGAUUUAAGGCAGUGGCAAACCUGUGGUGCACCCCACACCUAGAAGACCUGCCUGCACACUGCAGGAUGCAGGGUCCACUCUGACCCCACACACUCAUGACUGAGGACAUCUGCUACUGCAUUGCACCGUCCUGGCACAAACCUUGGGAGAAGAAAGACUGAAUUGUCCUCGCACCACCGGAGAAUGUCCCCCGCCAGACCCGAGAGAGACUCGGACCGGAUGCCCCCAGAGUUUCUCAAAUAGGCCACCACUGUCGAAUUGUCUGACAUGAGAGACACCACUGUGCCUGAGACUUCCUGCUGAAAGGACUGCAGAGCCCAGAAAACAGCCAUCAUCUCCAGGUGGUUGAUGUGAAACCUCCGCUCCUGAGGAGACCACACCCCCGAGACUAGAGAGUCCCCCAGAUGAGCACCCCAACUGUGAAGGGAUGCAUCAGAAAACAGAGACUGUUCCGGAGGUGCCAUCACAAAGGGAGCUCCCUUGAUUAGAUGACCUGGAUCCAUCCACCAGGAGAGGUCUGCCAGACACCACUGUGAAGGAGGAACCUGCCAUGAAGGAGGGUCCGACGCUGCCUUCCAAUGAUUUUUCAGGCACCACUGAGGGGGCCGAGAGCGUACCCGGCCACCUGGGACAAGCCUCUCCAGGGAAGCGAGAUGACCCAGGAAUGACCUCCAUAGACACACUGUAGGGGCUCUGUCCUCUAAAAAAUUCUGCACCACUGAGAGAAACCGGCUGAUCCUUUCUGGCAACUGAAAAACCAGAGUUCUUACUGAAUCCAGCACCAUGCCCAGGUACUGCUUCCUUUGGCUGGGUACCAGGUCUGAUUUGGGCAGAUUGAUCUGAAUACCCAAGUGAGCACACAGCUGUAACACAUCCUGGAUGGCGCCUAUGCAUCCCUGGAGAGUCGUCCCUGUGACCAACCAAUUGUCCAGCUAACAGCGCAGGAAGAUAUUGUGUCGAUGAGCCCAUGAAGACACUGGAGCCAUCACUUUGGUGAAGACCUGUGGGAUGGUGGCGAAGCCAAAACAAAGAACUUUAAACUGAAAAACCUUGCUCUACACAAGGCACAUGAGUCUGGUUGACCAGCAUGGGAGUCUUGUGGCUGGUACCAACACUCACACUCUGGGAAUGGAGAAGUCCAUCAGACAUAAUAGUACUAAGCUCCACCCCCAAAGUACGUGGAAUGGUCUCACUUACGCCUAAUCCACGUGAUGGGAUGAUAGGCUGGUCGCCAGGCAUGGGAGCCGUAUGGCAGACGCUAACCUCAACAUCCUGGAAAGGAGUCUGGCUGCCAGGCAUGGGAGCUGUAUGGCAGAUGCCGACCUCCAUUUCCUGGGUAGUGAGGCAGCCGCCGGGCAUGGUAGACCGAUGGCUGUCACUAACCCCACCCCCAUAAACACUGCCAGAGGUACCAGGAGCACUGGGCAUUUCCUUAUCUGAACCACGAAUAAAGCCAUGGGAGGGGAUAAGAGGCUGGCCGCCAGGCAUGGGAGCCGUAUGGCAGACGCCACCAUCAAUAUCCCGGAUAGGAAUCUGGCUGCCAGGCAUGGGAGCUGUAUGGCAAUUAUUGACCUCCAUAUCCCAGGUAGUGGGGCGGCCGCUGGGCAUGGUAGACCAAUGGCUGUCACCAAUCCCACCCCUAUAAACAGUGCAAAACGUAUCCAGGGCACCGUAUACUACCUUACCUGCGCCAGGAACCACGGCAUGGCAGCCACCUGUUAUAUUUGCGUCUGCAGCAGAUGCUGGUACCAUCUCAACCUCGUGACUGCGACCAGCUGUCCCCGCUUGCCCUGGCCUCUGCACAGCCCCACUUGUACCCAGCUGGGAAUUGUCUACCUAUGAAACCGGAGACUGGAAACCAGAGAAGGGGGAACCCCGUGAAGAGGAAAGAAAGAGGGAAAGCUGACCCAACGUCUCCUCCAUCUUACACAUGCGUUUAUGCAGCUGCUGAGACGAAGGGAAAGACUUACGCUUACCAGAAGACUAAGCCUUCCUCCUCUCAGUACAAUCUUUAAUACUAUCCAAAAGACAUUAGAAACUGGUCGUGUGACAAGGCCUUGCAGCAAUCACAAUGGGAAGUAAGGCUACAAAACACCUCCCUAUAUGACAGACACUCCCCAUGAGGGUCCACCAUGAGACGGGAGGGAACGAGAACAUUUCACACACUUACGUGGCAUAAUAACACACUCACAACUCCUGGUAGAAGAAAAACAAACCAAGAAGCGACGAAAGACAAACCAACCACUGUUGAAAAGAAAAAACAACAAUGGGCCGGUGAAAGAGAUGAGCUUUAGACUACGUGUAAGCCCUGUGACAGCAAAGAGGCGAAUGAGGGAAUUGGCCUGAUGGCUGAUAACUGGAAAUAGAAAAUGGGCAGGAUGUCUUUGCAAAGAAAACAAAUGGUGGUGGUGGUCCUGUCAUAUUGGAAGUGCUGUCAUCAAAUGUCCCAGGAGAGGUCAUCAGUGAAGUUAAUAUCAGUACUAGUCCUUCUCUCAGUAAGUGGCAGAAAAUCAUUCAGUUGGUCACCAAGGUCCAUGAUCCUCUGACCAGCAACUUGUAAUGGCCAAGACAUAAGGAAAGACCCAUACACCAGUGGCGCCAGCAGGGUUGGCCUGGGGUGGCAGCGGCCACCCCACUGGCCAGUCACAAAUAUCGGUUGAAAAUAUCGAUUGCCAAUUUUAUUUAUUUUUUUUACAGUGUUGCCAGUGCUUGAAAAAUUAACUCUAACCUUUAAAAGCAUGAAAGAAAAGUCUAAAUCCCAAAAAUCUUGAAAAAUCUACACCAACUGUAUGAAAUGUUCCCAAAAAUCUUGAAAAAUCUACACCAACUGUAUGAAAUGUUAGAGAGAGAGGGGAGGUGGUGCUGGCUCAGCUGAUGGCCUUACGUGUACAAUACACAUGGUAAUGUAACAUCACAGCAGUUGAGCAAACAUCGUCUGUGCGUCACCUUCCAGUACAUUCUUCUGCUUUGCUCUGCUGGUAAGUGUAUCCUACUAAAAUGAAACUUAAGCAUUAAUUAAUCAUAUUAAUCUUUACUGAUAUAUUUUCACCCUCUGGCAUUGUGCAUUAUUAUUCACUUAAAGACACUCAAAUAUUAUUUAUGUCCCACGAGAAAAUAGUAAAGCUGAGUGUGCCAUUCCAGGUGUGGUGUUGAGUAAAUUGAGUAAUCUAGCUGAUGAGAGGGGCAAAAAAAUGCCACAGUAGGUGGGGUCAUUGGGAUGUACUUGUAAGUAUAAUGAUUCUUAUGGAGCUACGGUCAGCUAUCAUUAGAUUGGAAACGCUAUAGUGUCAGGGACAAAGUGGACAGUACUUAUAGGUUUGCCAAAAAACACAGCAACUGGCGAAUAAUGUUGUUCUGAAAAUGCAAUUGCAGCACUGAGGAUCUGCAACAGGAGAAUAAAGUUGUAAUAAUAGUACUAGUAAAAUAAAAUUCCUGAAAUUA
rnacentral:lncRNA from 1 species